rnacentral:rRNA from 1 species
GAUGAACGCUGGCGGCGUGCUUAACACAUGCAAGUCGAACGGAAACAGGAUGAAGCCUAGCGAUUCCUGUUUUAGUGGCGGACGGGUGAGUAACGCGUGGGUAACCUGCCUUACACUGGGGGAUAACAGUUAGAAAUAGCUGCUAAUACCGCAUAAGCGCACAGGGCCGCAUGGGCUGGUGUGAAAAACUCCGGUGGUGUAAGAUGGACCCGCGUCUGAUUAGCUAGUUGGUGAGGUAACGGCCCACCAAGGCGACGAUCAGUAGCCGGCCUGAGAGGGUGAACGGCCACAUUGGGACUGAGACACGGCCCAAACUCCUACGGGCGGCAGCAGUGGGGAAUAUUGCACAAUGGGGUAAACCCUGAUGCAGCGACGCCGCGUGAGUGAAGAAGUAUUUCGGUAUGUAAAGCUCUAUCAGCAAGGAAGAAAAUGACGGUACUUGACUAAGAAGCCCCGGCUAACUACGUGCCAGCCGCCGCCGUAA